CCCAAGCCGAAGGCAGAUGCCCAAUGACUAAGCCACCCAGGUUAUUUGUGGCUUUGAAUUCACAGGGAUCAAGCCCUGCAUCAAGUCCUGCGUCAGGCUCUCUGCUUGGGUAGAUUCUUUCCAGGAGAAUUUAAUAAUUAAGCAGUUGCGGAUCCCAGAGCAUUAUCAUCCAAAAGGAAGGAAAUGAGGAUGGGCAGAAGACAGGCCACCAGCUGAGAACCUGUUAAGUAAAUAAAUGAUUUUUAAGUCCUGGAUUGAAGGUUGUAAGUGUUUAAUAUAUACAGCUGUAAACUCACUUAUCUGUAUACAUUUUUUCCCACUGAAGGGGAAAAAGGAUCCUUCUAAUCGCUCAAAUUAACACUCAAUAAUAUCAAUACUUGCAAUUAAUAACACUUGCCUUUCAAUGAAUGUGGAAAUACAAUGUUAAGUGACUAACUGAAAAUUUUACAUUUAAAAUAACAUUAAAUUUCCGAUUUGGGACGGAUUCUUAUUUAGUAUGAAUUUAGUGCUGACACUUACGGUGCU